rnacentral:lncRNA from 1 species
CUCUAUUGCCCAGGCUGGCGUGCAACAGUGCGAUUUCGGCUCACUCAACCUCUGCUGCCCGGGUUCAAGCGAUUCUCCUGCCCCGAGUAGCUAGGAUUACAGGCGCCUGCCACCGCGCCCAGCUCAUUUUUGUAUUUUUAGUAGAGAUGGGGUUUCACCAUCUUAGCCAGGCUGGUCUUGAACUCGUGACCUCGUGAUCCACCCACCUCGGCCUCUCAAAGUGUUGGGAUUACAGGCGUGAGCCUCCGCGCCCAGCCCAUGUGCACCAUUUUUAAGUGUACAGUUCAGUGGUAUUACACUGAUACACAGCCAUCAUCCCAAACUGAAAUUCUGUACCCAUUAAACAACAACUUGAAACAACAACUCUCUAGCCCAUCUCCUCAGGCCCUGCAAUCACCAGUCUACUUUUUGUCUCUGUGAAUUUUAUUCCUCUCAGGUACCUUAUAUAAGUGAUAUCACACAGUAUCUGCCCUUUCAAAAACAAUUUACAUUUAAAUGUGUUUUCAACUGUAAACAUUUACCAAGUAUUGUCACUUCCUCCCCUGUGAGGCAGGCAGGGCAGAAACUAUUGGUCUGGGUUUGGAGGCCCAGGGAGCUGAGGUUCAGGAAGGUUCAGAGAUCUGUCCAAGCCUGUGGCACAUAAGAUACCCGGCCUAUCUGACACCCACACACUCCUCAGAGGCUGGUACAGAAUCUGAAUGAAUCUGGAUAGGCGGAGGGCCAUGACCACAACUCUCAGCCCACACCAGGUAACCUUCCUGUACCCACAGGCAUGGUUUGAACACGUCACUGCAGAUUGGCAAUCAGAACAGGAAAUAAUCAAUGCAGUAGGGUGAAGCUAAAGGAAAAGGAUUCAACCUAAGGACAUUCAGCCAGAGGCCAGGAUGUAUCUAUCUACAGUUGGGUGCAGAGAUGGCUAGAAAGAAGACCUUAGUUUUUAAUUACUCUUUAUCUAUGGCCAUGACUAAAUGUUUGGCUAAUCAGGGAGACGACUCAGGGAGGUCAAAGUCAUUGCCAGCAUGAAUUAUUAAUCUGCACACUUGUUUGGAGUCCACUGGAAUAGGCAGCAUAGUCAAGUCACAGUGGAAGGUGCUACAUGAUUAAUCUUCUUCCUGCCUGAGGCCCCCAGCUCUUGAGUGGGCAUUCUUCAUACUGAACAUCAGGGGAAAGAUCUUGUUUUCCACACUCAGGUCAAAAGGUUUGCUCACUUUUUUUUUCCUGCAUAAUAAUGGUUGAUACUAAUGACCUAUUUGCAAACUGCCAAGAGACAGUAGGGUUUCUUCACGUUUGUUUGUUUUCUGGAAUCAGAAAUGGUUCAAACUGUGCAUUACCUUCUAAAUCAAUGUACUGCAGAAAGCUCUUAGUGAACCUGAAGAAAACGAGUGAUAUGCAUUUUGUUCUCAUCAAUACUUACUAAAAUAAUUUAUUAGGUGUUUAAAUUGUUAGAUGAGACAGAGUUAUCAGACUGGAAUAAAACUUAGUUUUCCUCUGCUAUCCUGCUUAGGAGAAAAGAGGGGCUCAAAUGAGGAUUGGGCUAGCUAUAGAAAUAAAGCUAUCCUUUCUUUGCACUAAGUGUAACGUGAAUACAUUUUCUGCCCUGUUACAGGAUUAAUAAUUACUGAGUGCCUACUACAUACUGGGUCCUUUCAUACAUAUCCUCAUUUCAUCAUCAAAAUAACCCCAUGUAGGAAACACUAUUAUUUUCCCAUUUUUAGAUUAGGAAACUUAGGCAUAGACAGGUUAAGGUUGAGCAGCAUUCCCAAGGUUCCACAGGUAGCAAGUGUCUGAAUCCUUACAGGAACUUACAGACUAAAAGAGCACAGAACCCAUAAAAAGGAGACACUUACAAUGCAGUGUACUAAAUGCAAGGACAGAAAUGAGUGCACGGAGUUGGGGACAUAAAGAGAGGCUAAAUUUCACCUGGGAAAGCUUUCUGGAGAAGAUUAUGUACAUGACUUAUUUUUUGAAAGGUAUUAUUAAUAUACAACAAAAUGCACAGAUGUUAAGUAUUCAGUUUCAUAAGUUUCAACAACUGCAUAUGUUUGUGUAGCCACCAUCAAAAACAAGGUUUAAAACACUUCCAUCACCCCCAGAAAGUUCCGGCAGCUGAGGCUGCAACAUUGGGACCCAUCCUGGACAGGAUACAUCCCCUAGCAGGGUGCACUCAGACCCACACCCCCACCACACACACCCCUGCCACACACACACACACAC